AUGAUAGAGACGUGUGGUUUUUACAACCUAUUCUCUUGGGAGAAAGGUUUUGGGAUCAGAUAUUGGAAAAGCAGGGUGAAGCAGGUGUGUAGAACACACGAUCUUGCCGAUAGGGGAGGUGUUGGGAGGAGGAGACGUCAUGGAGCCCAAGAGCGGAUGCAACAGAAGAAGCAGCACCGUUGCCGUGCACUAAGCAGGUUGACAGAGUCUGCGAGGUGGAAGAUCCAUAGCAUACAGGUUGAUUUACAAGGGUUGUGUGGAGCGAACUCUGUUCCUCUAAACCAAGGGGUACUUUUGGCCCUUUUCCUGGCAUCCGACAUAGUCGAUGAGAUAUCCCUGAAGCUUCAAUGGAUACAGAGUUUGAACCAUUUAGCAUUUGGGACCACGAGGAUUCCGAUUGGGAGAAUGACGCCGUCCAUAGAUUCAUGGCGAGACGUUGGUGGACAGGAGGGUUGA
rnacentral:rRNA from 1 species